GACAGACCAAAUGGCCAUCUGCCUUGGGUUUUUCUGCAUCAGUCAUCAGGCCAUGAAUGUCAAUGAAUACAAGUCAGGUGGAAACGUCAGUGGUUUGUGAUCCUGGAUAGCUGAAGAUUUUUUGUUUGCCAAAACUUGGGGAAACUCAUCAUAUAAAAAGCGCAAAACCUCCAAGUAAAUCACUUCCAGGAGCUCCACUAUUCAGGCCAUCUCCACACAACAAGAUGUUUCAAACAGCCUCAGAAUUAUGGGUGUUCUCUGAGGUUUUCACAGCAGCUCUAAUUCAAUGAGCAAAGGUCACAGGGCCAGAGAUAAGUGUAAGUGAAGGACAUGGGCAUCUAUUUAAAGCAAAGCAACUCCGAGGGAAUGCAAAUAGUCCACGUUCCUAACUCUUGAAAAUGCUCCAACUUCUGCAUCUAAGUCCUGAAACUGCUUAUCCA
rnacentral:lncRNA from 1 species